rnacentral:rRNA from 1 species
UGGGGAAUAUUGCACAAUGGGCGCAAGCCUGAUGCAGCAACGCCGCGUGAGGGAUGACGGCCUUCGGGUUGUAAACCUCUUUUAGCAGGGAAGAAGCGAAAGUGACGGUACCUGCAGAAAAAGCACCGGCUAACUACGUGCCAGCAGCCGCGGUAAUACGUAGGGUGCAAGCGUUGUCCGGAAUUAUUGGGCGUAAAGAGCUCGUAGGCGGUCUGUCGCGUCUGCUGUGAAAUCCCGAGGCUCAACCUCGGGCCUGCAGUGGGUACGGGCAGACUAGAGUGCGGUAGGGGAGAAUGGAACUCCUGGUGUAGCGGUGGAAUGCGCAGAUAUCAGGAAGAACACCGAUGGCGAAGGCAGUUCUCUGGGCCGUAACUGACGCUGAGGAGCGAAAGCGUGGGGAGCGAACAGGAUUAGAUACCCUGGUAGUCCACGCCGUAAACGUUGGACGCUAGAUGUGGGGACCAUUCCACGGUUUCCGUGUCGCAGCUAACGCAUUAAGCGCCCCGCCUGGGGAGUACGGCCGCAAGGCUAAAACU